rnacentral:rRNA from 1 species
CAGCCGCCGCGGUAAUACGUAGGGUGCGAGCGUUAAUCGGAAUUACUGGGCGUAAAGCGUGCGCAGGCGGUUUGUUAAGACGGAUGUGAAAUCCCCGGGCUCAACCUGGGAACUGCAUUCGUGACUGGCAAGCUAGAGUAUGGCAGAGGGGGGUGGAAUUCCACGUGUAGCAGUGAAAUGCGUAGAGGUGUGGAGGAACACCGAUGGCGAAGGCAGCCCCCUGGGCCAAUACUGACGCUCAUGCACGAAAGCGUGGGGAGCAAACAGGAUUAGAUACCCGGGUAGUCCCUGUCUCUUAUAC